UACACGUAGAGGUAGACGCAGCCGCAGCUGCGCUGAGAGGCAGGGUCUUGUCUCGGCCUCCAGCCGCCCGAGCUCUGACCUGGUCUGGUGAGCUGAUGUGAGCAGUCACACUGACAAGGAUGAAAGAAGAAUGCAUCCUCAGAGCGCUCUGAGAUGCUGUGUAAGAAGUCCAACUACCCUGAAAGGGCAUAGAUGUUCUGUUGUUGAUUUCAGUGGUGCCUACCUUUUCUAUCUACCUUGCAUACUAAUAUCUGAGUGAAGCCAUUUGGGCUAGUAUAAAAGACCGAUAUCAAUGAGUGACCCUAACUGAUGUCAUUUGGAGCAUAAGAAUCUCCCAGCUGAGUUCUGCCCAAAUUCCUGAACCACAAAAUUGUCAGGUUAAUCUUUUUCUCCUUCGGAGAAUAUGCAUUGUUAAAGGCAUUAAGAAGAUUAACAAAUUUUCUGGCACUGGAAGGAAGCCAGAGGAUGACAAGGAUUUGACCGAUAUAGCCACUGAGGUUUCAAAAGAUUGAACAACUUAUCUAAACUAGGGAGUGGUUGAACUGAGCUUGAAUCCUUAUUGGCUCAAUAGUUUCUUUGAUUUUUCUUUUCCUAACCUGGGAGUACAGUUUUAAGGAAGAAAAUAAGAAUUACUACUUAAGCAGAGACUAAAGAUCUAAUUUUAUAUCAGUAAUAACAGUAGAAACUUUUGAAAAAUAAUUUUCUACUUAUAAAUCAAACAUUUAACUGCAAAAUUAAGAAGCAGGAAACAAACUCAUCAAUAUUAAAUAUAUUUGAAAUUUCUCGAGGAAGACAAAAGGUAAUAUUUCUCUUCUAUACCAGUGUUUUUCAAAUUUCAGUUCCUCUUUUGAUGAACAUAAACAUGUCCACUCCACAACAACUCUGACAUAGUCCCCCUGUCUGCUUGUGAGUCAUGACAUCUUCUGUACGUUUCCAACAAUCAAAAGGAUAUUGUCAACUUCUGUGGCUUACAGUCUUGUAGUUUGUAUCAUGGAAACACACUUUUUUUCCAACUGUAAAAUUCCACUAUAAUUAUUAGAUAUGUUUUUUUUUUCAAACUACUUAAUAGAGAAUCCUUUCCCACUCAGGGCUGAGAUAUAUUUUUCUGUAUGAUUCAACCAUGUAUGGUGUGGAGGUUCUGUGCUUGGCUCAAAUGUAAAUAUUUUGAGGGUUGAGAGUGUUUGAUCUCAGGAAAAUAUAAUUUACUGCUUCUGGAGUAAAAACAAAAUUAAUAAAUGAUACAGCACACAAACCCAUCUUGGCCUUGCACUGCUUAGCAGUGUUUUAGUGAAUUACAUUUGAAUGAAUGAGAAACAUAUGGAUGCAAUGUCCCUUGUGGCUACUCCUGGAUUCAGAGAUGGAAGGGGGAAUAUGCUUAACCAAAUGCACCAUAUUUUUCUGAACACCAUAACAUAUUUGGACCUAUUCUCUGGAGCCAGUGGGA